CACGUAGGGGGCGAGCGUUGUCCGGAUUCAUUGGGCGUAAAGGGCGCGCAGGCGGCCCGGAAAGUCGGAUGUGAAAACUCGAGGCUCAACCUCGAGCGUGCACCCGAUACUGCCGGGCUUGAGGCAGGUAGGGGAGAUCGGAAUUCCUGGUGUAGCGGUGAAAUGCGCAGAUAUCAGGAGGAACACCGGUGGCGAAGGCGGCAUCCUGGACCGGCAUUGACGCUGAGGAGCGAAAGCUAGGGGAGCAAACGGG
rnacentral:rRNA from 1 species